CCAAUAGCGUAUAUUAAAGUUGUUGCAGUUAAAAAGCUCGUAGUUGAAUUUCGGGAUCAAUAUUUCGGUCAUGCCGUUGGUAUGCACUGUUAUCAUUGAUUUCUCACCUUCUAAAGAACCGUAAUGCCAUUAAUUUGGUGUUACGGGGAAUUAGGACUGUUACCAUGAAAAAAUUAGAGUGUUUAAAGCAGGCUCACGCUUGAAUACAUUAGCAUGGAAUAAUGAAAUAGGACAUCCGAUUCUAUUUUGUUGGUUUCUAGGAUCGAUGUAAUGAUUAAUAGGGAUAGUUUGGGGCAUUAGUAUUCAAUUGUCAGAGGUGAAAUUCUUGGAUUUAUUGAAGACUAACUACUGCGAAAGCAUUUGCCAAGGAUGUUUUCAUUAAUCAAGAACGAAAGUUAGGGGAUCGAAGACGAUCAGAUACCGUCGUAGUCUUAACCAUAAACUAUGCCGACUAGGGAUCGGAUGAUGUUAAUUUUUUAAUGACUCAUUCGGCGCCUUACG
rnacentral:misc_RNA from 1 species